rnacentral:misc_RNA from 1 species
CCCAACUAUCCCUAUUAAUCAUUACGUCGAUCCUAGAAACCAACAAAAUAGAAUCAAACGUCCUAUUUCGUUAUUCCAUGCUAAUGUAUUCAAGCGUGAGCCUGCUUUAAACACUCUAAUUUUUUCAAAGUAACAGUCCUGAUUCCCCAUGACACCAAAUUAAUGACAUCAUGGUUCGUCAGAAGGAAAGAUCCGACCAGAGCAGUGCUUACCUUGCGGCAAGACCACCCAGCCAGAUCCAAAAUUCAACUACGAGCUUUUUAACUGCAACAACUUUAAUAUACGCUAUUGGAGCUGGAAUUACCGCGGCUGCUGGCACCAGACUUGCCCUCCAA